ACCUAAUGCACCAGUGGGAGCUAUCACAGUCAGUGUAUGUCUGGGCUGGUGGGUGGGAGCACUUGUCAUGUCUGUGAAAUUAUGAAUGGCCAGAGAGGAUGGCGUGGUGUGCGAGUGAGAGAGUGUGAGGGAGAGAGAGAGAGAGAGAGAGAGAGAGAGAGAGAGGGAGGGAUGGAGAGGGGAAAAGACGUGUCUGGUGAUACGUAGAAGAAUUGCCAACCAGCAGCACAGCCCCUCUGACAAAGGUGGAGAAAGAGAAGGCUGACAGACAGAAGCCCUGAGUAAGUGUGAUAAAGAGCCUCUCUCCUCCCUCCUGCACCCCACUGCCGCUCUGCACCUCACUGCACCUCGCCAACAUGGAGCAGAAGACAACCUCGCCUCAGAAACACAUGGUGAAAAGCAGGUCCAAGUCCACUGAGGAAAUCCAGCAAGCUAAGAAGGCCUUCCACAUCCCCCAGAAGUCGCUUCCUGGUGGAUCCGAUUUAGACAAAGUGAAGGUCAGCCCACAGUUCACGUAGGGGCAAGUCUGCACGGACCAACAAAAGAAAGCCCUGAAGAAUCUGAAACUCCUGCAUCAUCAUCAGAGGAACUGAAGUAACACUUAUAAAUCUCAACCCCCCCCCCACACAUAUGCCCAAUCUAAAUCUCCGGUCUUGUCCAGACAUGCAGACUUAAGUCCACAGGGCUGGAGGGCUCUAAUUCUGCCUUUCAUCUAGGCCACCUGACCAUAAUAAUGCUGACUUUUUAUUAACUUAAGGAAAGGCUGCUUGAGAUGCAGACUUCAGCAGACUUCGCUAAUGGAGUUACCCUAAAUUCACAGUAGUGAGGAACCAAAAAAACCCCAUGAAACCGAAACCGAAAGAUACACUUGGCCUUUUUUUUGUUUCAUUUAAAAAAUAAACUGCAUGCUAAUAAAGAAAUUGCAUGUUUAUUAUUGAUAUAAUCUGCUUUCAAUAUGACAAAAUUGAGUUGACGAUAAAUAAAAACAGUUUGCAUAAAAGCAGAGUUUGAUUAACACACCAUAAAGCUUCAUAAUUUCCCCAGUAUAUUAAAAAACAAACAAUCCUCAAGAACAUUUUAAAAGAAACCAAAUGCACAUACAUUUACAUGGUAAUGGAGGCUUAUACUAACACAGUUACAGAGCCAGUUCCCUGUAAACUAACCAGCACAUCAUCACACCAAACAAAACAUCUGUUCUCUUCAGCUUAGGACAGAUUAAUGUGGUCACAAUGACUAAUAAAGGAUUUAAAACCAUACAGGCACUUUUAGCUCUACAUUUUAAAGGCUACUUUUAUGACAUGAUCACCUGUAAACCAAGAGAAACAUAAUUAGCCACACAGCUAUCCAACAUGUUAUUGGCACUGCACUAACCGAGCUACGAGAAUGUCAAAAAGGGGUGGGGGGAAGGGCCUUAGCUCACCCCCUAGUACCUGAAUAGUGGAACUGCUUUCAACGAAUGGACUGAAAAACUACAUGGAUCUGUAAAUUAAUAAAGUAAAAUAAAAGAGAAAUGAAAUUGGGGUGGUUCUCUGUGGCCACAGUCUGGUAAUAUCACAUACGGGCUACAGAAUGAUGGCUAGAUUUUUCUUUCUGCAUCUGUUGUUCUGCUGUAUUCUGCAUGUUUAGUGCUCAAACUGAACGUGUUUGUGCUGAGUGUCAAAUGAAACAAACACAGCGUUUCUAAUCACUACCCCCAUAUUUAUACAUUUAAAUACCGGUUUAAACAUGCCUUGUCCACCUGGCCUCUCCAUUCCCCCUGAGGUGACAUGUUAGGGGCUGUUCCAUUGAUUUAUUAGCUCAAGUGAGGGGUGUUAGGUGAGCUUUCUAGGGGACAAGGCAUCAGGUGAACACCAGUGUUGAGGUCCGCAGCAGAACUUGUCCAGAAAUCAUUGUGAUGUGACACGUCCCUUUUCAAAGCCCAAAAUAAUGGCAGAAGAAGUCGUUUAGAGGCUAUAGCAGUGAACUUGUUCAAAAUGCUUAACAUUUCAAAACCAUAACAUUUGAUUUGCUGGGCUUCAGGUCACUCCAUCUAUUACACAUGACUGCUGAUAUGACUUCAUCGCUUUGCUUUGCUAGCUGGCUCGCUAUCAUGCUAAAGACUACAUGGCUAAUGACAACAAAAAGAAAGGCACUACACACUGCAACACCAAGUUAACAGCCAGCCAAAGUGAUUACUCGCCCAUGUUAUAUAUGUUAUGCCCAAACUUCUCAGAAAAGAUUUUGCAUUUCAAAGUUUGCAUGGCUAGCCAAUUAGCCCACUGAAGCUAACCUACUCCUAGUUCAUUCUUUUUGAGUAAUCCGCUCCUCAUUGUCCCUUCACUUCUUCCCUUAGUGGCCACUUGUGUAACACAUUGGUGUGAAAGUGGGUGAGAGCAAGUUUGGAAAAAAACAUAUAAAAUCAUGCUACUGUUUCUGUUAAGUGAUUUUUCUUUACAUGUUAGACUCUGGCACUUUGUUGUAUACCGACCUAAACCUGUAAGUGCCACUUUCUGAGUCUCUUGGACGAAAUUAUUGGUGGCCAAAACUUCAUGUCAUAGUUCAUAGCAGAAUGCAUGUGAUAGCACAACAGGAGGAGUUCCAAAAAGAAUAAAUAAAAAUUUUACAUUUAGAUAACAAGCGAACAAUGAAUUUAUACGUAAGUAAAAAACAGUUUGUGUCCAUAUGUGCAUAUUUUGGUUUCAAAGUCUCCCACAGAAGUGAGUCGAUCUGAUGUCCACUCUAAGUAGUACUUUUUUAUGCACUUCCAGCCGUAUGACCUCAGAUUAAACAUGAUGACGUCAAGCACUGUAGUGAACAUCACAAAACGUAGAUCCGAAGUCCGUGAGACCGGAGAGCAUGGGGCCGUAGGUUUAGAUUGGGCACUACAUUAUCUUCACUCAUGUCACUUCCUGAAAUUACCACAUAUGACCCAUGUGCUCCUUCCCUCAUCAGGAUACCCCCCCCCCAAUAACCAGCUGUUACUUCACCAUUUUAACACAUGGCCGUGUACUAAAGAGGCAGUUCAUAUAAACAUGUUUCCAUGCUGUGCUGUUGAAGAGUGUGACUGCUGUACAUAUCAACUGAAUGUGUUUGCACAAUAAAGCAGUUUGGUGAGUGUGUCCUUGCAAAAAUGAUAUAUGUUGUCUUC